UAGUUUCUGUUUACAUGUACUUUGUUCACCUUUUUUUGCCUUAAAAAGCGUGAUUCAAGAAACAUGCUUGUCAAUAUUUGUGCAAAAACAAAGAUCUUACUUGAAAAACAAUUUUCAGAGUUAAGAACAACACAAAGCAAAAAUGAAAUUCGUCUUACUUCUUGCUGUUGUAAUAAUGGCUAUUUAUUAUGUUGAUGCUAAAGAAUGUUCAUACGACGAAAAAAAAUGCGGAGACGAAUGUAUUCAUUUGACGGAUUACCGCUGCUGCGAUGGAAAACCAAGAAAAAACAAUGAAUACGGAGAAUGUGGAAAUACGUGUUUCCACUUUACUAACGAAAUAUGUUGUAAUGGCGUUCCUCUUCCAUCAGACGAAUGGAAGAAUUGUGGAGGAGUUUGCAAAAAAGUGAAGCAAUGUUGAUCAAUUUGGAAAUUUUUGUUGUCGAAUAUUGAAUUGGUUAAAUAAAAUUUAUUUGAUUAUUA